ensembl:lncRNA
CCAUAAUGCGACUAAAACAGGAGAACUCCACCUGUCUUAAUUAGAUUAUGCUUACUUCGAUUAUGACCUUAAUUAGAUUAAGUAAAAGUGCAGAACUCUUAAAACCUGAGAUGGGUAACGUACAACGCUAUACCAGUAAUCCCUUUAAACGGGGCCACAUCUCACUAGCAGAAAAGAAAGAGAAAACAAAAAUGAGGAAAAGAGGAAUCAGAACUGUGCAAAAAGAAAAGAAAGAACUUGGAAUUAUGGGAUUUGAGAAUCAGGCAGACGACGAAAGACUUCCUGUCAGAAGGUCCUGUCCAUUAGGAAGCCAGCAGGUUGCUCUCCAAGCCUGUACUAUUCAUUAUUGAGUCUCUGGAGAAUUUCUUAAUGUUUUGAGUUCCCCAGCGGAGAACAUGUUGGACCUUCGCACUCCACAGGUGGGAAAUGAAUUAGAGGAAGCAGAGUCCAUUCCUGAGUGUACAUAGUUAUAAUUCCAGCUGAGUGCUCUUCCUAUGGAGCCCCAACGGGCCGUUAAGUUGUACUGACUUCUUAGAGGUGUUGAAAUAAAGGCCACUCCAGGACUGCGCAUGGCUACAGCGCUCUCUCUUGCCCUCUCUCUCUCUCACACACACACACACACACGUUGGGGAAAUCUCUUUGCUAGAUGAGUUUUACACCUCACGUAUAUCAACAUUAUGGUGUACAAUAUACUGUACAUGUUAUAUCUGAGAACAGGUUUAGUAGUAAAGGAUGGUUAGCAUAAUAAAAGUGUAUUACACUUAUUUUUUGCUAAUGAACCACUUUUACUGUAAAACCAUUAUUAAUAAAUCAUGUGAUCACAAAC